rnacentral:rRNA from 1 species
AUUGAACGCUGGCGGCAUGCUUUACACAUGCGAGUCGAACGGCAGCGCGGGCUUCGGCCUGGCGGCGAGUGGCGAACGGGUGAGUAAUGCAUCGGAACGUGCCCAGUAGUGGGGGAUAGCCCGGCGAAAGCCGGAUUAAUACCGCAUACGACCUGAGGGUGAAAGCGGGGGACCGAAAGGCCUCGCGCUAUUGGAGCGGCCGAUGUCGGAUUAGCUAGUUGGUGGGGUAAAGGCUUACCAAGGCGACGAUCCGUAGCUGGUCUGAGAGGACGACCAGCCAAACUGGGACUGAGACACGGCCCAGACUCCUACGGGAGGCAGCAGUGGGGAAUUUUGGACAAUGGGGGCAAACCUGAUCCAGCCAUGCCGCGUGCGGGAAGAAGGCCUUCGGGUUGUAAAACGCUUUUGUUCGGGAAGAAAUCCUGUGGGCUAAUACCCCGGGGGGAUGACGGUACCGGAAGAAUAAGCACCGGCUAACUACGUG